UUAAUGCGAGAGAAGAAAGUUGUGGCAUGUACCUCUCGUCAGUUGAAGCCCAACGAAAAGAACUACCCCACUCACGAUCUUGAGUUGGUGGCAGUUGUCCAUGCAUUGAUAACAUGGAUACAUCUCUUGUUGGGAAGUAAAGUGGACAUUUUCACCGAUCACAAGAGCCUCAACUAUAUCUUCACUCAACCCAACCUCAACCUCAGGCAAACUCGAUGGGUCGAAAUGAUUCAAGAGUACAACCCAAGUAUUGAAUAUACUCUUGGCAACGCAAAUGUGAUUGCAGAUGCUCUGAGCAGAAAG
rnacentral:rRNA from 1 species